CUCCGGUGAUGGCUUCAUAAGUCGCUUCUGCGCAAGUCCACACGGUGAAAGUCUAGCGGAGGAUACAGUUGGAAUCUCGCGAUAGCGCUGCCCCACAUUAGGAGUUCAGGAUUGGUUGGAACCUCUAAGCGGGAGGCGGGGCCCUGCGCAGAGUAUCAGGUGUGGGCGGGGCUCCGCUGGGAGCCCGGGAUGGGAGCUAGUUGGUGGCUUUAGGGACCUGGCCGGCGAGAGCUCUGCAAACGCACCUCUUUUAUUCCUUCCAGAAAGCAGAGUCUGAGCACCGAUGAAGCUUAGCUCUUUCAGGAAAGUUAUUUUAAAAGACUUUUCAGGGGAAAAUGAGUAUACAAUUUAAGAGGAGGAAAGAAAAACUGCAUGUAUUGUGUUGGAUUUAUUUCAAACUCCAAAGUUAUGUCUCACCUGCUGCAAACUCAACCUGAAAACUGAAAAUUCAAGCUGUGUGCCUUCUGUCUCUCACAAAUUAUAAAGCAAAAUUUGUAAUCUGUACACAAAAUGCUGCGCUGGACAUGAAUUUAUAAGGAGAAAGUAAUUCACUAUUUCUAAGUGUUUGUUUUGGUUGUUAAUAAAAUGAUACUUAUAAACUAGGUAAAAGCA